CGGGGUGGAGUAACGCGUGGGUAACCGUGCCUCAUACAGGGGGAGAACGGGUAAAAUAGACUGCUAAUACCGCAUAAGCGCACAGUACCGCAUGGUACGGUGUGAAAAACUACCGGUGGUAUGAGAUGGACCCGCGUCUGAUUAGCUAGUUGGUGAGGUAACGGCCCACCAAGGCGACGAUCAGUAGCCGACCUGAGAGGGUGACCGGCCACAUUGGGACUGAGACACGGCCCAG
rnacentral:rRNA from 1 species